rnacentral:rRNA from 1 species
GACCAGACUCCUACGGGAGGCAGCAGUGGGGAAUAUUGCACAAUGGGGGAAACCCUGAUGCAGCGACGCCGCGUGAGCGAUGAAGUAUUUCGGUAUGUAAAGCUCUAUCAGCAGGGAAGAAAAUGACGGUACCUGACUAAGAAGCCCCGGCUAACUACGUGCCAGCAGCCGCGGUAAUACGUAGGGGGCAAGCGUUAUCCGGAUUUACUGGGUGUAAAGGGAGCGUAGACGGUCCUGCAAGCCAGAUGUGAAAACCCGGGGCUCAACCCCGGGACUGCAUUUGGAACUGUAAGGCUAGAGUGUCGGAGAGGCAGGCGGAAUUCCUAGUGUAGCGGUGAAAUGCGUAGAUAUUAGGAGGAACACCAGUGGCGAAGGCGGCCUGCUGGACGAUGACUGACGUUGAGGCUCGAAAGCGUGGGGAGCAAACAGGAUUAGAUACCCUAGUAUA